CACGGAGAGCUUGCUCUCUGGUGGCGAGUGGCGAACGGGUGAGUAAUAUAUCGGAACGUGUCCAAUAAUGGGGGAUAACGAGUCGAAAGAUUCGCUAAUACCGCAUACGCCCUACGGGGGAAAGCAGGGGAUCGUAAGACCUUGCGUUAAUGGAGCGGCCGAUAUCUGAUUAGCUUGUUGGUGAGGUAAAGGCUCACCAAGGCGACGAUCAGUAGCUGGUUUGAGAGAACGACCAGCCACACUGGAACUGAGACACGGUCCAGACUCC
rnacentral:rRNA from 2 species